rnacentral:rRNA from 1 species
UAGGGAAUCUUCGGCAAUGGGGGGAACCCUGACCGAGCAACGCCGCGUGAGUGAAGAAGGUUUUCGGAUCGUAAAGCUCUGUUGUUAAGGAAGAACGAGUGUGAGAAUGGAAAGUUCAUGCUGUGACGGUACUUAACCAGAAAGGGACGGCUAACUACGUGCCAGCAGCCGCGGUAAUACGUAGGUCCCGAGCGUUGUCCGGAUUUAUUGGGCGUAAAGCGAGCGCAGGCGGUUAGAAAAGUCUGAAGUGAAAGGCAGUGGCUCAACCAUUGUAGGCUUUGGAAACUGUUUAACUUGAGUGCAGAAGGGGAGAGUGGAAUUCCAUGUGUAGCGGUGAAAUGCGUAGAUAUAUGGAGGAACACCGGUGGCGAAAGCGGCUCUCUGGUCGGUAACUGACGCUGGGGCUCGAAAGCGUGGGGAGCGAACAGG